rnacentral:rRNA from 1 species
AGAGUUUGAUCAUGGCUCAGGAUGAAUGCUGGCGGUGUGGAUAAGGCAUGCAAGUCGAACGUCCCCUUCGGGGGAAGUGGCAAACGGGGUAGUAACACGUGGGAAUGUACCCAAGAGUCAUGAAUAACCUGUCGAAAGGCAGGCUAAUACAUGAUGGUCCCUUCGGGGUAAAGAUUUAUCGCUCUUGGAACAGCCUGCGAGGUAUCAGCUAGUUGGUAGUGUAAUGGACUACCAAGGCUAUGACGCCUAGGGGAGCUGAGAGGCUGACCCCCACCAUUGGAACUGCGACACGGUCCAAACACCUACGGGUGGCUGCAGUCGUGAAUCUUCCGCAAUGCACGAAAGUGUGACGGAGCGACACCGCGUGAUUGAUGAAGCCCUUCGGGGUGUAAAAAUCUUUUAUGAAUGAAGAAGUAUAUUGACAUUAGUUCAUGAAUAAGGGGCUCCUAAUCUCGUGCCAGCAGGAGCGGUAAUACGAGAGCCCCAAGCAUUAUCCGGAUUUAUUGGGCGUAAAGGGUGCGUAGGUGGUUAUAUUAGUCGUGUUUCAAAGACCCGUGCUCAACAUGGGGAAGGGAUACGAAACGGUAUGACUUGAGUAUGUGAGAGGUGUGCGGAACUCAUGGAGUAGGGGUGAAAUCCGUUGAUAUCAUGGGGAACACCAAAUGCGAAGGCAGCACACUGGCACAUUACUGACACUGAGGCACGAAAGCGUGGGUCGCGAAUGGGAUUAGAUACCCCAGUAGUCCACGCCCUAAACGAUGCAUUCUAGCUAUACGGAGUAUCGACCCUCUGUGUGGCGUAGCUAACGCGUUAAGAAUGCCGCCUGGGAAGUACGAUCGCAAGAUUAAAACUCAAAGGAAUUGACGG